rnacentral:rRNA from 1 species
GACGAACGCUGGCGGCGUGCUUAACACAUGCAAGUCGAACGGAAAGGCCCUGCUUUUGUGGGGUGCUCGAGUGGCGAACGGGUGAGUAACACGUGAGUAACCUGCCCUUGACUUUGGGAUCACUUCAGGAAACUGUGGCUAAUACCGGAUAGGAGCUCCUGCUGCAUGGUGGGGGUUGGAAAGUUUCGGCGGUUGGGGAUGGACUCGCGGCUUAUCAGCUUGUUGGUGGGGUAGUGGCUGACCAAGGCUUUGACGGGUAGCAGGCCUGAGAGGGUGACCGGCCACAUUGGGACGGAGAUACGGCACAGACUCCUACGGGAGGCAGCAGUGGGGAAGAAUGCACAAUGGGCGGAAGCCUGAUGCAGCAACGCCGCGUGCGGGAUGACGGCCUUCUGGUUGUAAACCGCUUUCGCCUGUGACGAAGCGUGAGUGACGGUAAUGGGUAAAGAAGCACCGGCUAACUACGUG